rnacentral:rRNA from 1 species
UAAUACGGAGGGUCCGAGCGUUAUCCGGAUUUAUUGGGUUUAAAGGGUGCGUAGGCGGUUUUAUAAGUCAGCGGUGAAAUUUUCCGGCUCAACCGGGAUACUGCCGUUGAUACUGUAAGGCUAGGAUAUGGUUGCUGUGGGUGGAAUGUGUGGUGUAGCGGUGAAAUGCUUAGAGAUCACACAGAAUAUCGAUUGCGAAGGCAGCUCACAAAGCCAUUAUUGACGCUGAGGCACGAAAGUGUGGGGAUCAAACAGGAUUAGAUACCCUGGUAGUCCACACUGUAAACGAUGAUAACUCGCUGUCGGCGAUAUAAAGUCGGUGGCCAAGCGAAAGCGAUAAGUUAUCCACCUGGGGAGUACGACCGCAAGGUUGAAACUCAAAUGAAUUGACGG